ACCUGCCUCUGCCUCCCAAGUGCUGGGAUUAAAGGCGUGCACCACCACGCCCGGCUUCAGAUUGCUCUUUCUAAUUCUUGCAGAUUGCUCUUUCUAAUUCUCAUCUUCGUUUUACAGCUGAAUAACACCCCAUUCUGUAGGUACAUCAUAUCUUCUUUAUCUGUUCAUUUCUUUAUGGAAGCUUGCAUCGAGUGCAUGUCUUGGCUAGUGUAACUAAUUUCACAGUAAACAUGGGUAGAUUUGAACAUGCUUAUUUCAUUUCAUUUGAUAUAUACUCAGAAGUAGGCCACUGGACUCAUAAGGUAGUUCAGAUUUUUCCCUAGGAAGCUUUCAUACUGCUUUCCAUGGCUGCCAUUGAAGAAAUCCUCUUAGGUAGGUUUCUUGCCUCCUACUGGCUAUCACAAUUGAGCCAUGGUCCACACCUCUCCCAAUGCAGUGCUGUGCCUGGAUGCUUGCUCUUUUCUUCCUAAAAUAAAUUUAUUGAUCAGGCAUUACAACUGUUUGUUACUGACCUCCAUCAGGAUUAUUCUUGCCUAUCACAAAUCACCCUCAAAGUUCAGAUGUUGUUGACGCUGUGGACUUGAACUUCUCUUCUCUUUCCAGAAGUACUGAACCCCAACCCUCACACACACAUCUCUGUUCCCACUUCCCAGUGUGGUCUGGCUGACCUUCUUCACCUUCCCUCUCUCCACUGUUCUACAUAGCAAGUGAGUCAACUAAAAGCAAUGAGAAUUCCCACUGAGUUCACUGGUGAGCCAUGGCACUUCCGGGUCUGUGUCAUUACAGCUGAGAAGACUAGAAAAUGGAGUGUUUUGAUCAACAAGAUCACUUUCGGAAGACAGAAUGGCCCCCAAGUCUGUCUACAAGACUAACAAGAACAGAGAUAUAGCAACCAAAUCCAAAGCCCUGGUACAUGUUCCAGUACUGAAAAACAGAGUGGAUUAUCUCAGAUAUUUUAUCAGAGUGACAGAAAGCUGACAAAAAGCAUCAGAAGACUCUUUCUCUAUGUUGUGACUCUGAGCUUGUCCAGGCAACUUGCUGAGAUGGUUUUGAUGCAAA
rnacentral:lncRNA from 1 species